rnacentral:rRNA from 1 species
CGUGCUUAACACAUGCAAGUCGAACGGAAAGGCCCUGCUUUUGUGGGGUGCUCGAGUGGCGAACGGGUGAGUAACACGUGAGUAACCUGCCCUUGACUUUGGGAUAACUUCAGGAAACUGGGGCUAAUACCGGAUAGGAGCUCCUGCUGCAUGGUGGGGGUUGGAAAGUUUCGGCGGUUGGGGAUGGACUCGCGGCUUAUCAGCUUGUUGGUGGGGUAGUGGCUUACCAAGGCUUUGACGGGUAGCCGGCCUGAGAGGGUGACCGGCCACAUUGGGACUGAGAUACGGCCCAGACUCCUACGGGAGGCAGCAGUGGGGAAUAUUGCACAAUGGGCGGAAGCCUGAUGCAGCAACGCCGCGUGCGGGAUGACGGCCUUCGGGUUGUAAACCGCUUUCGCCUGUGACGAAGCGUGAGUGACGGUAAUGGGUAAAGAAGCACCGGCUAACUACGUGCCAGCAGCCGCGGUGAUACGUAGGGUGCGAGCGUUGUCCGGAUUUAUUGGGCGUAAAGGGCUCGUAGGUGGUUGAUCGCGUCGGAAGUGUAAUCUUGGGGCUUAACCCUGAGCGUGCUUUCGAUACGGGUUGACUUGAGGAAGGUAGGGGAGAAUGGAAUUCCUGGUGGAGCGGUGGAAUGCGCAGAUAUCAGGAGGAACACCAGUGGCGAAGGCGGUUCUCUGGGCCUUUCCUGACGCUGAGGAGCGAAAGCGUGGGGAGCGAACAGGCUUAGAUACCCUGGUAGUCCACGCUGUAAACGGUGGGUACUAGGUGUGGGGUCCAUUCCACGGGUUCCGUGCCGUAGCUAACGCUUUAAGUACCCCGCCUGGGGAGUACGGCCGCAAGGCUAAAACUCAAAGGAAUUGACGGGGCCCCGCACAAGCGGCGGAGCAUGCGGAUUAAUUCGAUGCAACGCGUAGAACCUUACCUGGGUUUGACAUGGAUCGGGAGUGCUCAGAGAUGGGUGUGCCUCUUUUGGGGUCGGUUCACAGGUGGUGCAUGGCUGUCGUCAGCUCGUGUCGUGAGAUGUUGGGUUAAGUCCCGCAACGAGCGCAACCCUUGUUCACUGUUGCCAGCACGUUAUGGUGGGGACUCAGUGGAGACCGCCGGGGUCAACUCGGAGGAAGGUGGGGAUGACGUCAAGUCAUCAUGCCCCUUAUGUCCAGGGCUUCACGCAUGCUACAAUGGCUGGUACAGAGAGUGGCGAGCCUGUGAGGGUGAGCGAAUCUCGGAAAGCCGGUCUCAGUUCGGAUUGGGGUCUGCAACUCGACCUCAUGAAGUCGGAGUCGCUAGUAAUCGCAGAUCAGCAACGCUGCGGUGAAUACGUUCCCGGGGCUUGUACACACCGCCCGUCAAGUCAUGAAAGUUGGUAACACCCGAAGCCGGUGGCCUAACCGUUGUGGGGGAGCCGUCGAAGGUGGGACUGGUGAUUAGGACUAAGUAGU